rnacentral:rRNA from 1 species
UACGGAGGGGGCAAGCGUUAUUCGGAAUCAUUGGGCGUAAAGGGCGCGUAGGCGGCUUCAUAAGUCUUGGGUGAAAGCCCUCGGCUCAACCGAGGAAUUGCCUUGGAUACUGUGGAAGCUCGAGGCUGGAAGAGGGCAGUGGAAUUCCGGUGUAGCGGUGAAAUGCGUAGAUAUCGGGAGGAACACCAGUGGCGAAGGCGGCUGCCUGGGCCCAGAUCUGACGCUGAGGCGCGAAAGCGUGGGAGCAACAGG